rnacentral:rRNA from 1 species
CCCUUAGAUGUUCUGGGCUGCACGCGCGCUACACUGAUGCACUCAACGAGUUUACGACCUUGCCCGAUAGGGUUGGGUAAUCUUUUUAAAAUGCAUCGUGAUGGGGAUAGAUUAUUGCAAUUAUUAAUCUUCAACGAGGAAUUCCUAGUAAGUGCGGGUCAUCAGCUCGCGUUGAUUACGUCCCUGCCCUUUGUACACACCGCCCGUCGCUGCCCGGAACUGAGCCGUUUCGAGAAGACUGAGGAUUGCUGACUUGAGGCCUUCACGGGCUUCUAGUCGGUGAAAAUCAAUUUAAUCGCAGCGGCUUGAACCGGGCAAAAGUCGUAACA